rnacentral:rRNA from 1 species
UACAGAGGUCCCAAGCGUUGUUCGGAUUCACUGGGCGUAAAGGGUGCGUAGGUGGCAAAGUAAGUCUGAUGUGAAAUCUCCGGGCUUAACCCGGAAACUGCAUUGGAAACUACUUGGCUAGAGGGUUGGAGGGGGGACUGGAAUACUUGGUGUAGCAGUGAAAUGCGUAGAUAUCAAGUGGAACACCAGUGGCGAAGGCGAGUCCCUGGACAACUCCUGACACUGAGGCACGAAAGCUAGGGGAGCAAACAGG